rnacentral:rRNA from 1 species
CAGUCGCCGCGGGAAUACGAAGGGUGCAAGCGUUACUCGAAAUUACUGGGCGUAAAGCGUGCGUAGGUGGUGGUUUAAGUCCGUUGUGAAAGCCCUGGGCUCAACCUGGGAAUUGCAGUGGAUACUGGAUCACUAGAGUGUGGUAGAGGAUAGUGGAAUUUCCGGUGUAGCAGUGAAAUGCGUAGAGAUCGGAAGGAACAUCUGUGGCGAAGGCGACUAUCUGGGCCAACACUGACACUGAGGCACGAAAGCGUGGGGAGCAAACAGGAUUAGAACCCCCGUAGUCCCUGUCUCUUAUCAC